UUAAAUUGAAGAGUUUGAUCAUGGCUCAGAUUGAACGCUGGCGGCAGGCCUAACACAUGCAAGUCGAACGGUAACAGGAAGCAGCUUGCUGCUUUGCUGACGAGUGGCGGACGGGUGAGUAAUGUCUGGGAAACUGCCUGAUGGAGGGGGAUAACUACUGGAAACGGUGGCUAAUACCGCAUAACGUCGCAAGACCAAAGAGGGGGACCUUCGGGCCUCUUGCCAUCAGAUGUGCCCAGAUGGGAUUAGCUUGUUGGUGAGGUAACGGCUCACCAAGGCGACGAUCCCUAGCUGGUCUGAGAGGAUGACCAGCCACACUGGAACUGAGACACGGUCCAGACUCCUACGGGAGGCAGCAGUGGGGAAUAUUGCACAAUGGGCGCAAGCCUGAUGCAGCCAUGCCGCGUGUAUGAAGAAGGCCUUCGGGUUGUAAAGUACUUUCAGCGGGGAGGAAGGUGUUGCGGUUAAUAACCGCAGCAAUUGACGUUACCCGCAGAAGAAGCACCGGCUAACUCCGUGCCAGCAGCCGCGGUAAUACGGAGGGUGCAAGCGUUAAUCGGAAUUACUGGGCGUAAAGCGCACGCAGGCGGUCUGUCAAGUCGGAUGUGAAAUCCCCGGGCUCAACCUGGGAACUGCAUUCGAAACUGGCAGGCUUGAGUCUUGUAGAGGGGGGUAGAAUUCCAGGUGUAGCGGUGAAAUGCGUAGAGAUCUGGAGGAAUACCGGUGGCGAAGGCGGCCCCCUGGACAAAGACUGACGCUCAGGUGCGAAAGCGUGGGGAGCAAACAGGAUUAGAUACCCUGGUAGUCCACGCCGUAAACGAUGUCUACUUGGAGGUUGUGCCCUUGAGGCGUGGCUUCCGGAGCUAACGCGUUAAGUAGACCGCCUGGGGAGUACGGCCGCAAGGUUAAAACUCAAAUGAAUUGACGGGGGCCCGCACAAGCGGUGGAGCAUGUGGUUUAAUUCGAUGCAACGCGAAGAACCUUACCUGGUCUUGACAUCCACGGAAGUUUUCAGAGAUGAGAAUGUGCCUUCGGGAACCGUGAGACAGGUGCUGCAUGGCUGUCGUCAGCUCGUGUUGUGAAAUGUUGGGUUAAGUCCCGCAACGAGCGCAACCCUUAUCCUUUGUUGCCAGCGGUUAGGCCGGGAACUCAAAGGAGACUGCCAGUGAUAAACUGGAGGAAGGUGGGGAUGACGUCAAGUCAUCAUGGCCCUUACGACCAGGGCUACACACGUGCUACAAUGGCGCAUACAAAGAGAAGCGACCUCGCGAGAGCAAGCGGACCUCAUAAAGUGCGUCGUAGUCCGGAUUGGAGUCUGCAACUCGACUCCAUGAAGUCGGAAUCGCUAGUAAUCGUGGAUCAGAAUGCCACGGUGAAUACGUUCCCGGGCCUUGUACACACCGCCCGUCACACCAUGGGAGUGGGUUGCAAAAGAAGUAGGUAGCUUAACCUUCGGGAGGGCGCUUACCACUUUGUGAUUCAUGACUGGGGUGAAGUCGUAACAAGGUAACCGUAGGGGAACCUGCGGUUGGAUCACCUCCUUACCUUAAAGAA
rnacentral:rRNA from 2 species